rnacentral:rRNA from 1 species
CCUACGGGUGGCAGCAGUGGGGAAUAUUGCACAAUGGGGGAAACCCUGAAGCAGCGACGCCGCGUGAGCGAUGAAGUAUUUCGGUAUGUAAAGCCCUAUCAGCAGGGAAGAAAAUGACGGUACCUGACGAAGAAGCACCGGCUAACUACGUGCCAGCAGCCGCGGUAAUACGUAGGGGGCAAGCGUUAUCCGGAUUUACUGGGGGUAAAGGGAGCGUAGACGGCUUGGCAAGCCAGAUGUGAAAGGCUGGGGCUCAACCCCAGGACUGCAUUUGGAAAGGUCAGUCUAGAGUGUCGUAGAGGCAGGCGGAAUUCCUGGUGUAGCGGUGAAAUGCGGAGAUAUUAGGAGGAACACCGAUUGCGAAGGCAGCAUGCUGGACGAUGACUGACGUUGAGGCUCGAAAGCGUGGGGAGCGAACAGGAUUAGAUACCCAUGUAGUG